UACGAGGGAGCUAGCGUAUGAAUGAAUCUGGGCGUAAAGCGUGCGCAGGCGGUUCGUUUUGUCGGCGGUGAAAGCCCCGGGCUUAACCUGGGAAUGGCCGUUGAAACUGGCGAACUGGAGUGUGGCAGAGGGGGGUGGAAUUCCGCGUGUAGCAGUGAAAUGCGUAGAUAUCGGAAGGAACAUCAGUGGCGAAAGCGACUUCCUGGACCAGUACCGACGUCAGGCACGAAAGCGUGGGGAGCAAACAGG
rnacentral:rRNA from 1 species